AUUGAACGCUGGCGGCAUGCUUUACACAUGCAAGUCGAACGGUAACAGGUUAAGCUGACGAGUGGCGAACGGGUGAGUAAUGCAUCGGAACGUGCCCGGUCGUGGGGGAUAACGCAGCGAAAGCUGCGCUAAUACCGCAUACGAUCUGAGGAUGAAAGCGGGGGACCGUAAGGCCUCGCGCGAUCGGAGCGGCCGAUGUCAGAUUAGGUAGUUGGUGGGGUAAAGGCUCACCAAGCCAACGAUCUGUAGCUGGUCUGAGAGGACGACCAGCCACACUGGGACUGGGACACGGCCCAGACUCCUACGGGAGGCAGCAGUGGGGAAUUUUGGACAAUGGGCGAAAGCCUGAUCCAGCAAUGCCGCGUGCAGGAAGAAGGCCCUCGGGUUGUAAACUGCUUUUGUACGGAGCGAAAAGGUCUCCUCUAAUACAGGGGGCUCAUGACGGUACCGUAAGAAUAAGCACCGGCUGACUACGUGCCAGCAGCCGCCGUAA
rnacentral:rRNA from 1 species